rnacentral:rRNA from 1 species
AAAUAUAUUUAGGUAUAGCCUCAUAAAUUAAGCAACGGGGGGUAGAGCACUGGAUGGGCUAGGGGUCUCACCAGAUUACCAAACCUAACCAAACUCCGAAUACCGUUGACUAUUAUUAUGGGAGUCAGACUGCGGGAGCUAAGUUCCGCGGUCAAAAGGGAAACAGCCCAGAUCGCCAGCUAAGGUCCCUAAAUCUAUGCUAAGUGGCUAAGGAAGUGGAAAUGCCCAGACAACCAGGAGGUUGGCUUAGAAGCAGCCAUCCUUUAAAGAAAGCGUAACAGCUCGCUGGUCGAGUGAGUCUGCGCCGAAAAUGUAACGGGGCUAAGCAUAGUACCGAAGCUGCGGAGUGGAAUUUAUUCCAUUGGUAGGAGAGCAUUCUGUAGGGCUGAAGGCAGACCGUAAGGACUGCUGGACCGAUCAGAAGAGCCCAUGCUGGCAUGAGUAGCGAUAAAGCAGGUGAAAACCUGCUCGCCGAAAGCCUAAGGUUCCUGAGUUAAGCUAAUCUUCUCAGGGUUAGUCGA